CAAGUCGAGCGGAUUGAUGGGAGCUUGCUCCCUGAUAUYAGCGGCGGACGGGUGAGUAACMCGUGGGUAACCUGCCYGUAAGACUGGGAUAACUCCGGGAAACCGGGGSUAAUACCGGAUAACUCAUUUCCUCGCMUGAGGAAAUGUUGAAAGAWGGCUUYUUGCUAUCACUUACAGAUGGACCCGCGGCGCAUUAGCUAGUUGGUGAGGUAACGGCUCACCAAGGCAACGAUGCGUAGCCGACCUGAGAGGGUGAUCGGCCACACUGGGACUGAGACACGGCCCAGACUCCUACGGGAGGCAGCAGUAGGGAAUCUUCCGCAAUGGACGAAAGUCUGACGGAGCAACGCCGCGUGAGUGAUGAAGGUUUUCGGAUCGUAAAACUCUGUUGUUAGGGAAGAACAAGUACCGUUCGAAUAGGGC
rnacentral:rRNA from 2 species